CUUGAAACACUGAAGUGUUUCUUCAUCAACCCAUGGGUACAACAAUGUGAUGUUUUCUCACCAAACCUCAAGAAAUUGACGUUGCGGGGGUGCCAACUGCCAUGGGACCAAAUGACGAUACUGUGCACGUUACCCAAACUCGAGGUGCUCAAGCUCAAGGAUUAUGCUUUCCAAGGAUCAGAAUGGGAGCCAACUGACGAACGCUUUCAGCAGCUAAAAUUCCUACUGUUGGAUGGGACUGAUCUUAUCCACUGGAAAGCCAGUUCUUUUCAGUUCCCUAAGUUUGAGGGUCUUGUUCUGAAGAAUUGUUAUUGUCUGUAUGAGAUUCCUGAGGAUGUAGCGGAAAUACCUACCUUGCAGUUCAUUGAAUUGUAUCACUGUAGCUCUUAACAACAUAGCAUAGGAAAUGACGAUCUUGUGGUGCGGAUCCACAAAUUUUACAACUGUGAGCUUUUCAUGCUUUCAUUAAAUUUUCUUUCAUGCAAAGAUCAAUUGAUACCAUAUUGUAUUUACUCUUUUGUUCUAUUUGUGUGGCAGCUGAACUUUAAAGGCCUGCAUCCGUCUGAUAUUCUCCAUGCCCUCUCAACAAGCAAUGAGGCUAAUGCAGAGGUUUUAACCUGUUAACUUCUAUUUCUUUUGUGAUUGCCGAGGAAAAUUAAGAGUUAAUCAGGUUGCGUUGAUGAUACAAAAUCUUUUCUUUUUCCAGGUAAGUCGGGCUUUUCCCCAGGAAUGAUUCAUCAACUUGGUUUCUUUUGGGAAGUUACUAUGUAUAUCCAUUGGAAGAUUUGGUACGUAAGAGUAGUGGAACCACCUUUGCCCAAUUUUUGCUGGAAAAAUAUACUUUGUAGAUAGGUAAAAUUGUAUGCAUAUGGUGAAUGCCCUUGAAACCAAGAACAUUACCUUUGAUAGGAGGUUGUGGAGGAACCGGAUUAGGCUAAGAUGGUAGUAGAUAGUAGUGUGUUGUCUUUCUAUCUAUCCAUACUAGUAUCGUGUAGUUGUAGUACUGCUCCGGUAGGUUCUUGACCUUCGCUUUCUGGUACUAUCUAUUUCUUGUACUUCGAUUAUCCUAUUAUUUGGCUGUCUGUUACUAUUCAGAAUGCUUUGUUAUACUUUUACUUUCGUUUAUUCCUUUUUUCGACUGCUUUGGAUUAUUUGUCCUUGAGCCGAGGGUCUGCUUACACUCUACUUAUGGGACUACACUGAAUAUUUGUUGUUUUUGGGGGAUGCCCUCGACUUUUUUGUAGGUGUAUUCACUCCUUUGGUGAAAUCCUGAUUCCCUCUCUGGUUAGGUAAUGCUAAAUGAUUUAAUUUGCUCAUUUAACGUUCAUAGCAUUGUGUUGAUUAUCACAAGAUCAAUUAUCUUGAGUAAUUCUCAGAACACUUGAUUGUACAGAGAAGAAGAGAAGCAGUAAGUAGAGUUAAGAGAAGAGAGAGGAGAAGAGAGAAGGGAAUGUAGAGUAAGAUUGAAUGAUUAUUAUUACUUGGUUCUUCUUUGUAAUGUACAAGUGAUAUAUAUAUAUAUAGUAGUGAAUGUAGUGAUAACUAACUCUUAACAACUAUAUGAUCUAACAGCUAGGUGAUAACUAACUUUUAACUAACUUUAUGACUUGUAACUAACUUUAACAGAUUAGAGACUUAAGCUAUAAUAAGAUAAUUAAGAACAUGUGAUCAAUUCAUUACUUAACGCAUUGUUUAUAUAUAAUGAUUUGUAUCCUAGAUAUCUUUCCUUAAUACGUUAGUAAAAUCCGACAUCUUCCUUCCAUACUCGAGUAUAUUCAAGUUCGUACAUUUCUUUUCUUCUGUAGUAUAUCUUUCUUCCAGAAUAACUAAUAUAACCCGAUAACAGAUAACCAAAUCGGGACAUGGUAAAAAGUGGCAUUAUCCCAUUAUUCAAAUUUCUCUCCCCACACUCUCACUCUUUCGUCGUUCAAGUUGGAUACUUCUUAAAUGGUCUAUUCAAUUUUGAAAUCUAGAAAGUGACAUAGUGCGUUCUGGUUAGGGAAUCUUAAUAGCUUAGUUGAUUAACUAUCUGAACUUUCACCUUAUUGAUGAUGGUUCAGAAUCCCUAUCUCGUAACCCCUUCUCCCAUUUCCCCUUCCCAUUUGUGCUAAUUUGUCAGCCAAAAAGUUCUGCUCCCAGUAGACAUGCUGAAUGCUGGGGUUAUUCAACAGUUGGAUCAAACUAUGUUGCUCGGACUCUUCAAUAAUGUCAAUGCAUGCGUGUCGGAUUUGCCAAAAUUAGGUAUUUUUGGAGAGGCCGACACAGGUACGACAUCGAAGGUGAAGAGCAAAUACCUGCAGUCAGAGAGCAAGUGUGAACUAUGUUCUCAGACUCCUCCAAAAUGUCGAUGGGUGUGUCGAAUCUUUCCAAAAUUGUGUAUUUUUUAACGAUCCGACACGGGUGCGGCAAGAUUUUUGGAGAAUCCAAGUAACAUAGCGUAUGAAUAUAAGGCUAUUCUCAGCUGUUAAUAAUUGCAGCAACUGCAGGCAAUCAGUUUUAAUUACUGAAGGAUAUAGUCUAUGAUCAAGUGCCAAAGUCGGUCUCACUCUCAUGUAAUAUCAAAGUUUAGUAACUUCACAACAAGUGAGAAAAGUAUGUUUCAUGCAUGUUUAUAUGAUGCAAAUAUGAAGCUUUUGACAGUUCAUUGUGACAUCCAGUCCAUACAAAAUGUUUGAUUUUUGGCAGUGUAUUAAUUUUCCAUAGCUCUCUCUUUGUCGAGUGUCUAUCGAAAACAACAUCUCUAUCUUACCUCUGAGGUAGUAGUACGGAUUUCGUAUGCUAUACCCUCUCCAGACUCCAUUUUAUAUGAAUAUACUGGAUAUGUGUUAAUUUUCCAAAACCAAGUAAAGGAUGAGUUAGAAGAAAAUGGUGUAACACAUAAAAUUUGAGUCCAUCAGAGUCAAAAGGGCAAAUUUUUUGAUCAAAAAUAUCAGAAGGGACAAUUGGUUUGGAAAGAAACCAAAGGGGACAAAACGCUCUUGGCUAAGUGGAACAUCCCGCACUUUCGGGCUAACGUUGAGCCGUCUUUCCUACGUUCGUAGACCCAAAACCUACGAUUUCUAUUUAAAUAUAAGAGUGAAUAACAUUUACUUAGUGUGGGAACAUCCUUAGAGAUGAAUAUACGUCGUAAAAAUCUCCUACCUCAAAAGUUAAGUUGAGCACUUUCGUAUUGAUUGACUUUUAGUUGACGAUUUUGCAUGUGUCAAAUUCCAACGAUCAUUUCUCCUUGGAUAUAAAGAGUUAUAUCGCAUACUAUAUAUCAAAUUAAAGCCCUUUGAGUUUUCUUUCCAAUGCCACUGAUCGUUCGUUUGAGUUUGGAGUCAAAAGUUAUGAGUGUUUGAAUGAGGCACUGUCCAGGGUGUGUGAUGGCCAUGCGCCGCACACCAAUCGCCUAAGCACACUUCCUCAGCUAUGGUUUGGCCAUGCGACGCACACCCUUAAGGUAUGUGAUGGCCACGCGACGCAAAGCCAUUCCGGGGCGUCAAAAAGUGUUCCAUUUGAUUUAUUUAACGGCUUAAGGGUCAUUUUACCAACCCAUAACUAUUCCUAACCCUCUUUGGGCAAAACUAAUGCAGCCUAUUAUACGUUAUAUUGCCUCUAUAAAAUCCCUGGUCAUCUCUCCAUUAGCGAGAAAGUAGAAACCACCUAGGGUUUGCAGAUUUUAAUCUCCAAGGGCAAAUUAUCUACGUUCUCUUUGAUUUUUCUCCAUCAAAAGGUACGUGGGACUAUCUUAAAGUUCAUUGGCAUAGGUUUUACGAUUUUUAUGAGCUUAAAAGUUAUAUAUGUAUGUAUAUGUAAUGAGAUUUGAGAAAUUGUUUUAAGAGCAUGCAUCAUGAACUCAAUUUGAUGAAAGUAUGUAUUUGUCAUGUGGUUUUUCCAUAAGUUUGAUUUAUAAUCUUGUGCAUACAUGAUUUGAGUUCGAAAAGUAAUUUAUGAAUGUGAAUUGUGAAAUUUCUUUCCCCAUGAUAAAAUUUAUAGUCUUUGCAUGGUAUGAAUUGUGAAUUGGGUUUGAGAGCAUGAAUUAUAAGCCCCUUUUUUAUCAUGACAUUUAUGUAUAACUAAUGUUGGGGUUGGUUUAUGAAUGAUGACAAUUCUUGAGUUCUAAAUGCUUCUUUAACCACUAUGCAUUGUUGUUUGCACGCUUUCAAAAAGGGUCUUUCUUAUGCUAAAGGGUCUUGUGUCUUAACUAAAAGAAAUGCAUGCGUUGAAUAAAUGAAUUGUCCACGUGUUAAAGAGUUAUGUGCACGAGUUUACAUAUGCUUUUGUAAAUAAGAAUUCUCAUGUGAUUUGAUAAAAUCUUUUGGUGGUCAUAUGCAUGUUUUUGAAUGAGAAGGGCGGAUACGAUGUGGUAUGAUGUGAAUGACUUGCAAGUUUGGGUAUGAUGAUACCCGGUGAUGAUAUGCUUUUAACAGAAUAAGCAUUGAAUGUUUUAUAAGCAUGAAGCAUGGUUUUAAAAAAUUAAAAAUGGGUUUAAAGAAAGUUAGAUGGUUACUCGAAGAAGGCAUUUGAGUGUAAGGGAUCUUCGUUGGAAAGCGAGUUUUGCCUAUUCGGGAGACAUGAUUGUCUAUGGUCAAUGUAUACGUGCUCCUGAGGCAUCCUUUAUAAGUGAGGUAAUAAAUCACAAAUGUUAGUUUAAGUGGCACAAUGCUUAGAUGACCAUAAUAAUUAAUUAGAUGUGAUUUAGUAAAAUUACAAUUGACAUAGCGAAGUAAACAUGCUCUAAAUGACUUACAACAACUAAUUAGAGGGGAUAUAGCAAAAUUACUAUAAAAAUAUUUGUAAAAAAAGUUUAAGUGAGCUCAUAAGACGUCAAGUUAAUUUAAAACACCAUGAGUUAAUUUAUUAUUUUAUGUCUAUAUUAUAUUUUUAUUAAAUAUUAUUGAUUUUUUAAUAUUAGAUGACUUAUAAUAAUUAAUUAGUGAUAAUAUUUAGUAAAACUAUAAUUGAAGCAGCUGAAGGAGAUAUGUCAUAAAUAUUUAUUUUACUUUUGUAUUAAAUAAUAUUAUUUUUAAUAUAUAAAUAAUUUAUAAUAAUUAAUUAAAAAUAAUAUAAUAAAAUUACAGAGCAAGCAGCAUGCUGAAGUAGGUAUGUUGAAACUUAUAGCUCAUUUCUAAUAUAGUAGUAAUAUAUAUUUUUUUUUCUUUGUCCAAAACAUAAUGUGAUCUAUAUAUCUUUGUUUCCAUCAAAUCAAAUUCAUUUGUAAGAUUGAGCAGAUUAAACUAUGACCUUGUUUAUUAAUCUAUUUUAAUUUAAUUUUUUCUUUUUUUUAAGUUCUCACAUGGGAGUUUAUUUCAUGAUAGAUCAAAAGAAGUAUAAAGAGGUGGAUAGAUGCUACUAAGCAUGCUUAGUAGUAAACUAAAUAUUCAGUUUGGAUCAAAAAUGAAAGUUCUUUUGUACUUGAAUUCUAAAUUUUAAAGAGUUUUUAAUGUCAUUCUUCAAAGUAGAUAUAAUCUAAGUAGGCAAAUUUGUAGCCUUAUUGAAGAAAAUGUUUCUUUUAGUAUUCUCUGCCAAAUUUGCGAGAAGAUCAAUUGUGGUGUUGCCUUCACGAAGUGUGUGGAUGAAUUGAAAUUGACCGUGAGAUUUUACAGUCGAAAUUUUCCUGAGUACAAUCAAAAUACUUUCAAAAUUAACUUACCUCAUUUUAACUUUUAAUUAAAUACAAGAAUAGGCGGUUUCUUAUAUUUCUUUCGUCCCAUUUUAGUUGGGCACAUUUCAUUUUACAUAGUAAUUAAGAAAUCAUAAAUUGAAUGAUGAAUUUUAUUAUUUUACUUUUUACUUAUAUUAAUGAUAUUCAUUGAGCAUAAGAAUGGAUAUUGGAAUUGUAAUUGUUCAUAUUUAAUGUAUACUGUUAAUUAUAAUUAAUUUUAUUCUGAUUUAAUGUAAGUGAUUAAAUAAUACUGUAUAAAAUAUUUUUUUUAGUAAGGCACGAACUUCGAGAAAAUGCACCUUUUCAAUAAAUAUUCCAUUUGUAAUAGCAAGUCCAAAGUCUUUAUAGUUGUCAAGUCAACUUAUACAAUGAAUUAUAUGAAAUAUUUCUAUUUAUUGUCUGCCCAAAUUGGUUGGUUUUACAUUAGAAUGUUAUAACAAACUAAAAAUUUAAGAACCCUAUUAAUUAUUAUUAUUAUUAUUAUUAUUAUUAUUAUUAUUAUUAUUUGUCAAAAGUAAGUUUUGACUUAAAAGUAACACGAAAUUAAAAAUUUAAAAACCUUAUUGAUAUUAGAUUUUUCGGGGCUGUGAAGAGAACCCAACUUUUCCUCAUUCUUUCUAUAGGAAGGUUGAUCUUUUACUUAAGCGUUAAGGGACUUUGCUUCUUCUUAACAACCAGAUGACUAUAGAGAACAUCCAUUAUGCCAACAGGUCCCACCACCAACUCUAUCUUAGAAGUCGAGUCACCAUUUAUUUUUUCAGAUCUGCUGCUAUUAUGUAUGUGUUUACUUGCGAAACGGUAUAGUUGAAUAUAUCUAAGUGAUUUAAAGGUGCAUGAUUCUGAUUGAUCUUGUGAAUGAAAUGAUAACGAAUUAAAUCGCAAUAAUUAACAAGAAAUGAAUAUAAAAAGACAAAAAAUAAUCAAGUCGUGUAUUAGAUUUUGAGAAUCGACCCUUGAUAAUGGCCUAUUUGUAACGUGUUCGGAAUGGAUUGAGAGAUAAUAGAUCCACAAUAUGUGAUCGUUUAAAUGUACGUCUUGUUUAAAGGGAGAUCAAUUACAACGUGUUUGGAAUGGAUUGAGGGAUAAUAGAUUCACAAUAUCUAAUUAUUUAAACGUUUUGUUUAAGGAGAGAUCAUUCUCUCAAUACUUUUAAAUUUUUUAUAUUAGUUUUUCUCAAUAUAAGAGCGUGCAAUACAUUAUAAGAACCAGCAUACGAACCGUGUGAAUCAAAUUUUGGCCCUAAAUACUCCUUUAAAAAUUCAAACCCUCAUCUGAUUCUUUUGGCAUGGGAGAUCGUGUUAUGAGAUUAGGACACGAUAUUUGGUGUGAAGUAUAAGAUAUAGUAGUCUCGAGGAUAAAGUAUAGGAUUAUUUUAUUUUAUAUUUGGUUGGAGGUAUUAGCUAGUCCUGAGAUUAUUUGUUCCGUCAUUUAUACAUAGUGAUGGAAUAAGUUAUUUCAUAUAUGAUGAAAUAAUGCAUCUUGAAAUAACUAUUUCUGGAACUAAUUAUUCCUGGAUAACUCUUUCCUAACCAAACGACCCUAAUCCUCUUUUAGGUUCCUUCAUUCCCCUGUUAUAUGUUUCUUUAUCCAAAUUCCAAACCCUAAUGCAAUCCAUGUAUGCAUGUUUCCAUUCAAAGGCGGAGACAGUCUAGUAAUAGAGGUUCGUCCAAAUUCCCUUCGACGAAAAAUUAUAUUAUUAAUAUAUGAUUAAAAUUAUUUUUAUGUAUAUAUUGUAGAUGUUGAACCUCCUCUGAUGAAUUUUUCUUCAGAUUUUGAAUCCUGACCCCUCAACAGAAAUUCUGACCCCGUCUCUGUUUCAUCAAAUCCAUUUGUAAGAGUGAGCGGAUUGAAUUCUAACCUCAUUUAUUAGUCUAUUUCAAUUUUAACUCAUUUCAAUGAAAAUAAUUUUAUAAUUAACUUAGCUUAUUUUAACUUUUAAAUAUAGAAGAGCGGGUGGUGCAUUGUAUGAACCAGGGCACGAACCUCGAGAAAAUGCAUGUUUCCAUCAAGUCAAUUCAUUUGUAAUAAUAAGUCGUCAAUUCAUACAAGAACUUGAAUUAUAGAAUUAUACGAAUUUUUCCUAAUUAUCUAGUCGAAAUUGGGUGGUUUUACACUUGAGUGCUAUAACAAUACUGGAAUUUAAUUCUUGUCAUAUUAUGAAAAUUCAAUUGAAAGGUAAAUAAUGGGUCGCACUUCCUCGAAACUCCAUUUGUUAUUUAUUUUUAUUUUUAUGUUUUGUUGUGGUUAUUUCUGAGUCGAGGGUCUAUCAAAAAUAGUCUCUCUACUUCAUCUGAGGUAGCAAUAUGGACUGCGAACACUUUAUCUUCCUUAGAUGUAAGUUUGUGGAAAUACACUGAGUAUGUUAUUAUACUUCGCCAAGAUCUCGAGGUAAAGGAUGAAUGUCAUUGUUACUGAGAAAAAUAAUAUAAACAUACACCAUAACUUAUCAUAUUUACACGAACUUCCACUAUUACAAAGUAAUUAUAAAAAUCUCAAUUAAUUAUGUAUCUUUGUUGGAUAUAUCGAGAACUAAUUAUGUUCUCGACAGACCCAAAAUUGAAAACAAUGUAUUGAGAGCUAAUUAUGCAUCUUUACAAACGAAAAAAAUAUUUUUUCAUUGAAUAUAUUAUGUAUCUUGACAUACCCAAAAUAAAAAAAAGUAUAUCGAGAGUUAUUAUGUAUCUUUACAAAGGAAAAAAUGUAUGUUCGUUGGAUGUAUCGAGAACUAAUUAUAUAUCUCGACAGAUCCAAAAUCGAUAAAAAAAAAUGUAUCAGAAGCUAUUAUGUAUUUUUAUAAAGAAAAAAAAAUAUUUUUAUUGAAUAUAUUAGGAGUUAAUUAUGAUAUUGAUAGACCCAAAAUUAAAAAUUUUAAUAAUUAUGUAAAAUAUCAAAUUUUUUUACAAUCAAACUUCAAACUAUCGAAAUUUAUGUUUGCCUCUUGAAAUUAACUAUUCUUUCAGAAAUAUUUCAUGCGACAAACCUACUAAUGGAGAAAAGUAUAUUUCAGAAUAUAUUUUUAAAUUUUUCUGUAUUUGAUUGAUUAAAAUUCAAAGCUAAACAAUAGGUCCCACUCCCACAAAACCUUGAGAAUUAAACAGACAGGUGUCAUUUUGACAUGUGCAUAAGUAAAAUUGUUUUGCACCAGCAUCUUCUAUCUAUUAUUCUCCAUUUUAAAUUAAAGUAAUGUUUUAAAAAUAACAGUAUUUUGCUAUAAAACUCAUUUUUUAUAGUUAUAUUUUAUAUAAUUAUCGUUUAUAGUCGCUAUAUUCGAUUUACGUCUACUGUAUUCGAUUUUACAGAUAGUAUGUAUUCAUAUAAAAUAUAAAUACAGUCCCUAUUUAGUCACGCCAAACAUGAAAUUCAAUAUUUUUAAAAAGAAAAAAAUCUCAAUCACACUUAUCUCGUUGAACUGAAUAUUUUCUUGUCUAAACUGCCAUUAUCUUUUUUAUAUUUUUUUUAUUUUUUGUGUUUUUCUCAUUUUUUCUUCUUUUUUCUAUUUUUUCCUACUUUUAUUUUUUUCGUUUCUUUCUUUUUGUUUUUUUUUUCUCUUUAAUCUCUUUCUUCUUUUCUUUUCUUUUUUAAUUUUUUUAUUUUCUUUUUUGUAUUUAUUUUCUUUAUUAUUUUUUUUGUUCUAUUUUAUAAUUUUUGUAUUUUCAAAAAAUAUGACUAGUCGAGUAUAAGUCAUAGAUGAUAACGUAAAUAUCAUAAUUGUUUAUUGUAUUUGUAGUCACACCGUCAUUUAUAUUUUUGUAUUUAUUGAUACAACUAUAUUUGUAUUUUAAAGUUUGCACUUGUAUUUAUAUUUUAUAGUUCACAUUUGUAUCUGUAUUUAAUAAUUCGCACAUUUAUUUGUAUUUGUUAGUUUGCGCCAUCAUUUAUAUUUUAUGUAAUUCACACUUGUAUUUUGAAGAGUUAUUUUGUAUUUGUAUUUUAUAAUUGAUUGCAUAUUAUAUUGGAUUAUAUUUAUAUUAUGAUUUUAUUGUGUUUGUAUAUUUAGAUUAUAUUUGAAUUAUACUUGUAUUUAUAUUCUAUUUUCUUCAUUAUCUUUUAAUUUUUAAGAAAUUAUUUUGUAUUUGUAUUUGUAAGUUGAUUGCAUAUUGUAUUUAGUUGUCACUAUGUACAGUUUGUCAUUUGUAUUUGUAUACAAAUAAGUAAGUGCAUUAAUUGUAUUUUCAUGAUUCUAAAAUAUAUAAAUAUGUAAUGUAUCAUUUGAUACAAAUGUACCGUUUUGUAUUUGUAUAUCAAAAUUAUCAUUCAUAUUUGUAAAUAAACAAAUAUCACUUGAUACAAAUGCAAUGACAAACAAAUGAAACAAAUGAUUUUACAAAUAUAAAUACAAUAUGUAUUUGUAUAUAUUGUAUUUGUAUAAAAAUUUGAGUUGUAUUUAUUUGUAUAAAUAAAUACAACUAGUAACAAUAAAUACAAACAUGUAUUCGUAGAAAGAAUAUCAAUCGUCCUUUUCAAUAAUUAAAAAAUACAAAUGAUAGUUCACACUUGUAUUUAUAUGUUAUAGUUCACAUUUGUAUUUGUAUUUUAUAGUUCACACUUGUAUUUAUAUAUUAUAGUUCAUAUUUGAAUUUGUAUUUUAUAAUUCGCACUUAUAUUUGUAUGUUAUAGUUCGCAUUUAAAUUUGUAUUUUAUAGUUUGCACUUGUAUUUGUGUUUGCUAGUUCGCACAAAUGAAAAGAAGGAGAGAAAUUGAAAAAAAAAAAAAAGAGGAGGAAAAUGAGAGAAAAAGAAGGAGAAAAAAUAUAAAAAAAAGAAGAAGAAGAAGAAAAAGAAGAAGAAGGAGGAGAAAAAGAAAAAGAAAAAAAAAAGAAAAAGAAAAAGAAAAAAAUGAAUAAAAAAUAAAAAGAAAAAAGUGAAAAAAUAAAAAAUAAAGAGAAAACAAAAAAAAGAAAAAAAAACUAAAGAAAAAAAAAACUAAAACAGGAAAAAAAGAAGAGAAUAAUAGAAAAUAGAAAAAGAGAGAAAAUACAUAAGAAAUGUUAUGAAUUGUAAUUAGGAAUAAUUAAUAGGCAAAAUGGGGUUAUGAAUUGUAAUUAAUUGAAAAUUAAUCUUUAAGUGGUAAUAAAAGCUCAAUAGUGGCUAAUCCGGGUAGUUUUUCCUUAAGUUGAUUGACCUGUUUUAACUUAUUACUAAAUUUAAAAAUAAAAAUUAUUUUUAAAUCUUAUGAUCUUAAACUAAAGAUAUGUCAAAUGUAUCAAAAUAUUCUUUAUGCAUGUGGUCUUAAACAAGUCAAAUUUAAAAUUGAAAUUAAAAAAUUACUAAAAAGAAAAAGGAUCAUGCUUUUUAAAAUGCACUAAAAAGAAAAAUAGAUAAAAUAAAAUAAAAACGAAGGAGUAAUAUAAUUUGUUAGUAUAAGUUUUACCUAAGAGUAACAUGAAGUAAAAAUUUUACUUUUUGAAACCUAUUAAUAUGUUGUGUAUAUAUUAGAACGAAUUACUCUUUGAUAGUUGAAUUUAUCAAAGUGAUUUAAGGAUAUAUUAUUGUAAAUGAAACAAUAACGAAUCGAAAUAAUAACGAAGAAAUGAAUAUAAAAGUAAAAAAAUAAUCAAAUCGUGUAUUAGAUCUUGAGAAUCGACCCUCUCAUACUUUAUAGCAUGGAAUUAAUUUUAUCAAUUUGCAUUAAAGCAAUAACAUUAAUUAUAUAAUCAUGCAAAAAUUAUGCGUCAUCAUUAGCUACAAUUAUUAUUUUCUACGCGCAAUAUAGUUCAACAAUUCAACUGAUUUAGCUCUUUGUUUUCUCACUAGUGUUCCCAAAUAAAAUACAGACAAAAAAAAGAAAGAACAAGAAAACGAGUAGACUAAAGCCUAAAGAAAAAUCUACAUGUGUUUCACCUUUCAUAGGUUAAAUUCCUAAAUAUUUGAUGUAGAUUUUUAAUAUUUUCUUACAUAUAUUUGAUGUUGAUGUAGACGAUAACAGAUUCAGAAUUUUUAUUAAAAGGUUCAAAAUAUGAAAUAGACACACGAAAAAAUUAAAGGAAAUUCUACAUAUACUGCAUAUGCAUACGUAAAAAAUAAUUUAAAUUAUAUAUAAAUAAUAUAAUUUUUCGCCAAAAAGGAUCAGGAUGAACCUCCUCGGCUAUAUCUAGCUCCGUCCUUGAUUAAUAAAAUUCACAAAUUUUAAAUUCUGAAUUGGUUUCUAAGUCGUAUUUUUGCCUUUGGCUCACCUCACAAACACACUUAAAAAAAUGUUGUAACUAUUUACUCUUAGAAAUUAAGAAGGAUUUUGAUUAAUACCCUGUUUGCGCCAAGUUUUUGAAAGGCUAAAAGUGUUUAUUUAUUCAAAAACUGCUUGCUUUAACAAAAGUGAAGUGUUUUGCCAAACUUUGAGAGAAAAAUAAGUGCUUCGGAGAGUAGAAAAUUGUUUUUGAAAAGCCAAAAAAAAUUAUUUUUAUACGCUAACUGUUACUCAAAAGUAUUUUCAUGUACUUUUAAAACAUAAACCUCUUCUUACCAAAAGUAAUUUUUCAAAAACAGAGGCAGAUUUAAGGGGUUACAUGAGUUUUUGGGAACCCAGUAACUUUCGUGUGAAUAUUGUAAUUAUAAUAAGAAAUCUAGUAAAUAUAUAAAAUUUGUAAGUUGGGAACCCACAAUAAACUGUAUUAUUGGUCUAGUGAUAAAGAAGAUGCUUGCUGAAGCAUUGUUGUCCUCUUGAUUGUGGGUUCUAGCCUUAUCCGUCACUUUUUUUUGAAUUUUGAUUUUUCCCUAGAAACCCACAAAUUUAAAAUUCUAGAUUCGCUCCUGAAUAUAAAUCAUCCCAUUUUGGGUCUAAGUUAAAUGAAUUCUCUUAUUGGCCAACAUGCAUGCAUGUUCUUGUUGACCAGCUGCUACCUUGGUGUGUGGACUCUAUAAAAGGAAUUAAUACUUCUCAUAAUAAACUAGUCACUAGAUAUUUGGAGCUAACAUUUGUAAUUAAUAAAUAAUUCCUUCAAAAAGGCAAAAAGCUUCAAGAAUGGAACGUUCCCUAAAGUCUAAAAUUGUUCAAAAGUUGGAAAGAAAAGAUGUGGAAAAAAAUAGAAGGAAUCAUAUGAAGAAUCUCUAUAAUCAACUUCAUUCCAUGCUUCCUACUCAUGCCUCUACCUCUAAGGUUUGUUAUUAAAAAUAUUUAGCGUACUUACUUACUAUGAUUUCAAAUUUUGAAUUCAUAAAUUUUAAUUUGAAAGUGCAACAGAUUCAAAUAUCAAACUCCUAAAUUCUGAUAUGCCUCUGUGCUGAAGGAGUCUUUCGAUAUUAUUUCAUCUGAAUUUGCUUCUGUAUUGCACGCAUGUAUUCAUAUUCGUCACCAACAGACUAUCGAAACACACCUCGAUUAAUGUCUCAGGAUUCAUAUACUUUGUAUUAUGAUUAUGCAAUGAGGUUUAAUCACAUUGAUAGAUUCACCACAAACCUCCAGCCCUCACCACCACCUCUUGUGGCUCAGCCUGUGCCAUCUUUUCAUUUGUUCAAAUAUUAUUUCUGCAAUACACGUUUGAACUUCUGCAUGCUUCGUGUCAUCCAAAAACAUAACAACUUCUUGUGCAAACAAAACAAGUUUAAAUAUGCUGCCAUAGAGUGUAUUCUUCACCUCUUUCGGCCUCGUUAUAGCCCAAAAACAAGAAGUGCAUAAUUCGGAUCUAAAUAAUCAGUGAACAGGAGAAGAUAUCAACAUUGCCAAUUUGGCUCUAUCAUUUUUUCAACAAAAUGUAACUUGUAAUUUGGCUCUCUCCUUUCUUCAAGAAAAUGUAACGAACUGCUGUUUCUGUGAUUACUUCUUCUAGUUUCCUUUUCAUGUAACUAGUUGGAUCCAUCUAUCAAUAUAGUUUUUGCCAAAAAUAAAAAAAUAAAAAAAAAUCUAGUUAAUGGACUUUAUAAAAAUCAAGUAUAAUAUUAACCUGAAUAUUUUAGCCAAAGUAUGUAACCCAUUGAGAAUGAUAUGAAUGUUAGUAGAAAAUAUUGCAAGGGAAGCAGGUUUCGUUACCUAUUCCGAGUACAACCCUCGAAAUGAACUUACUGUUAUAUGGUUCGGUGUAUGGAGUAGUUUAGUGCAUUGAGAUCAUGUGAGCACUCAUUUAGAUGAGUCUACUUGUGUGUUAAAGGUGUUCGACUGAAUUUAGCUUUGGUCUAAAUUAUGCAUAUAUAUAAGUUCUUUAAUUAGAAUCCAACAACUCAAAAAAACUAAAUUCAAAUUCCAUGAACUUCAACCUCUCGAAUCUACCUUUUAUACAUGCUUGUAUAUUUCUUGUAAUACAAUUUGAGUAUUCUUGCAGGAAACAACAAUGACAGUGUCAGAUCUAAUAGAUGCAACGGUGAAUUACGUAAAGAGCUCGAAAAUGAAUUUGGAGAAGAGCAAGAAAGACUUGGAAGAACUGAAAUUGGGCAAAAAGAGAGCCCAAUCACUCAAUGCAGCUAAUGAGCCCAGCUCAAGCACAAAGUCAACUUCGCAGAUAGAAUUUCAUGAAAUGGGCCCAAAUAUGAUCGUGGUUUUAAUAACUGGCCUUUACAAUAUAGCCACUUUUAAUAACAUCAUUCGAUUAUGCCACGAGACUGAAGGUGUUGAAGUUUUGUCUACCAACUUUCAACUCAAUGGAAACUCUACACUUCAGAUUUCUUUUGAAACUCAGGUCAGUAUACAUAAGAAAUUACUUUGGUGUGUUUGGAUAUCAGUGUUGCUCAAUGGACUUCGCGAUCUAAAGAAAAAUUAUAUUAAAAAUAUUCUUAAGUUUUUUCAUAAAGUCCAUACAAUAACGAGUCAAAAAAAAAAAAACAAAGCCGACAUAACUCUAAUUUUAUCUAGAAUUAUGAGAGGCAACGCAUGAUGUGUGGUUUACCUACAUUCCUAUACAAACAUGAUGUUGGAAUUUGAAAUAUGUUUUGCUAAUAAUUGCAUAAAAACAUUGUUUGUUAUAGUUGUCAUUUUUUUUUACAAAUCAAAAUCAAACUAGAUUUGUUUAAACUAACAUUAAAUGUUUUGAUAUAUUUAGGUGCAGAUCGACACAAAUUCAACAAUGGAAUUUAAAGCCACAACUUUGUGUGAUAAGAUCAAGGAGUUGAUUUAUGGACCAUCUUGCAACAAUGACAUGAUAAUAUCCCAACAACAUUUAUGGGACUACAAAAUUGAAUUUGAUGCACUGGAAUUAUUACCAACAAUAAAUCAAAAUCCAAACAUGUAUAAUUACAUGCAAAAUGUUUAUGAAACUCAUAGUUUUUUCUAAGCUAAAAUAGUUCUUCAUUGAAAUUAGAAAUAAUUGAGAUGUAAAAUUUCAUCUCCUAGUUUAGUAUCUUUAUUUAAGCAUAUUUGUGUUUGUUGUAAGCCUAUUCUUUGAUUUUUAUGAUUAAAUAAGGAGUUCUCUUAGCUCUAUUUCAAUUUUUGAUAAUUAGAAAUAAGUAUUUAUAGAUUUAUGAGUAUACUUUAUUUGAAGGAAAUUGUUUUUCACAGAAUUUUUUUUUUUGUUGAAAAAAAGUUGUCUUUUGUACUUAUUUUUUAAUGUUUGAAAAGUAGAUAAAAAAUAUCGUUCCAAAAGCAAUAACUUGGACAAAUGCUAUGAAUAUUCUAUGAAUGUGAAGCAGGGGUGGGUGGGGGUGGAGGGAGACAAGGGGAUUGUGGGUGAGUUGGGUGUCGAUUUUUUUAUUUUCGAUUAAAUUUCAUAUUUGAACUCCUUAAGUUAUAGGUAACGCAGCCGGAAGGAGGAAGAGUUUUGGGGAUUCCAGUAGCAGUUCUAGAGGUUUUGCGGUGUAGUGGCCAAUCUAGAGCGGUAUAUCAAUUCACGAAAAUUCAAUAACUUUUGCUCAAACUCUCUGUAUAUUAUUAGUUAAAAUAUAUGUACUACACAAAUAUUUAUAAAUAUUUACAGUCCUGCUAUUAUUCUGCAUUGAUAACUUGAGGAGUUAAGGUUAUGUAGGAACCCAACAAAUGACAACAACAUACCUACAAUAGUUUGCAAAGAAUGCAAGAAUAAGAAAAAAUGUUAUAAUGAUAAUAUUAAAGACAAAAAGGUACUAGCAAUAACAAAAAUAGUAGUAAAUAGUAGAGAUAAUCAUAGUAGUAAGAAAUAACAAUAAAAAUAGUAAAGAUCAUCAAAUUAAGAAAUAACAGUAGUAUAAAAUAGAGGAAUAAGAGUCCCUUCAGAGACAUUCAAUAAAAUUGAAACGAUACUAAUAAGAAGAUUAGCAUGCUUCUCUGCUUGGAUGAUACACACAAAUCGAAAAAUGAUCUUCAAAAAAUUAACAAAAAACUAUAGAGAAAUAAGAUAAUGAUAGCAUAAUAAUAAAAUAGAAACUCGCAAAUUUUAAAUUAUACUGAUUAUUUUACUCCUCUCUUAGUUGUUUUAUGAUAUUUGUGGUAUGCCAGAGGCUUUCAGAUGGAUUUCAGAGAUAUUCACCUAGCUAAAUGGAAGCAAUUGCUAGUGGCGUUGAAUAGUUAUCCAGUUUAAGAAAUAGAUUUGCCUGAUGUUGUCUUUUUUUUUUUCCUUAAAUAAGAGUGCUUCUAAAAUUUUGAGGUUUAGUUCCUAGCGUUCAUAUGAACUAGCAGUUGUAAAUAGACUAACUUGGUCGAAUACAAUUUCCCUGUUCCUUCAAAUAGAAUAGAUCUAUGUUUUCUAUUUUAUUGGUGCUCUGACUGAAAUUAACUCUCAGCAUCUUGCACUUUCUGAUUUAUUCUGAGAGAGUAAGCACCUGAUGCUGUUGUUGAAUUUCUCUUGUUAAAUUCGAAACAGUUACUGCUUUGUCAUGUGGAUUUGCUUUCAGGACUAAAGGAUCAAGUUAGUCUCUUCAUAGAGCUUAAUUUGAUGAAAGCUUUUCUUAAGGACGUCUCGUUAGAAGCACAGUGAGUUGCCAAACCCGAUCAGCUUUUGAAGUUGCCGCAAGAAAGUUAGUAGGCCUUCUCUUACUGAUUUUGAAGUUCACUAGGUUUGGUUCAUUUUCUGCGCCAACAUGUUAUCUUAAUUCAUGACUCUUACUGAUUUUGAAGUUCACUAGGUUUGGUUCAUGUUUGCAGCAGAAAAUUAUUUAAGCAAAGAGAAGUCUCCUAAAACUUAAUAUCAUCAGUAGAGACUUAUCGCAGAUUAAAUAGCUUUAUUAACUUUUGUAUAACCGUUACCUGGCAUUCAUCAUGGGGACUGUGUUAUCCUAAUGUAAAUUUUUAAGUUAUGUUAUAAAGAUAUGUUUGUUGUUAUUGUUAAGUAUCCCACAUCGGAAAAAGGAUGGGUAAUAGGUUUCCUUAUAUGGACUUGGAAGAGAUGGAACUCCUGGAUCCUGUUCUUUGGUUGAUUCGUUUCUCACCUUUACUAACUUCAUAUGUUUAACAGUAUUGGAUAUAUGCUUUCAUCCAUUUGAGCAUCUACCAUGUGAAAUAGGGAAAUUAUCUCAACUGAGUUAUCUUGCCCUCGCCAGUUUUAGUGUUCUCCAACCAUCAGUUCGCAAUCUUAGGUGUCUUUGGACACUAAUUCGUUACAGUCACCAGGCUAGUAUUUGUUUGCCGGCAGAGAUAUGGGUGAUUAAACAAUUAAGGCAUCCCUAUUUCAGGAAAUGCUUCUAUUUUCCUAAUGUUCAACCUGAACAAGAAAAUUAUCUGCUCAAGUUAAGUCGCUCUAAUCUUGCAUUAACCAAGCUGCAAGACCGUUAUAAUCUGGGCGAGUGUAGUUGCUCUAGUGUUGCAUUAACCAAUCUAAAGAAGUUAGGAAUUCGUGAAAGUGAAGAAGAAUGCCUGACUGCUGAACAAAUGUCUUGAAAACUCAAGAAACUGGUUCUGUUGGAGCACCUUGAAACAUUUAAGGGUUUCUUUAUCAAACCAUGGAUUCUUAAACAAUGUGAUGUUUUCCCACCAACCCUCAAGAAAUUGACGUUGCGGGGGUGCCAACUGCCAUGGGACCAAAUGACGAUACUGUGCGAGUUACCCAAACUCGAGGUGCUCAAGCUCAAGGAUUAUGCUUUCCAAGGAUCAGAAUGGGAGCCAACUGACGAACGCUUUCAGCAGCUAAAAUUCCUACUGUUGGAUGAGACUGAUCUUAUCCAUUGGAAAGCCAGUUCUUUUCAGUUCCCUAAGCUUGAGUCUUUGUUCUGAAGAAUUGUUAUUGUCUGCAUGAGAUUCCUGAUGAUGUAGCGGAAAUACCUACAUUGCAGUUCAUUGAAUUGUAUCACUAUAGCUCUUCUGCUGACGACUUUGCAAAUAGGUAUAAUGACCCUUUAGGUCAUUUUCCAUAUUUAUGUUUAUCUUUACCGUUUGAGCUUCUCCAUAGCUGCCCCAAGUCAUUUAUGACUUGCUGGGACUGAGGGUUCGAUUACCGGGCAGUUCGUUUGUUUUUUAGAGUUAGCUCCCUGUUUAGAAGUCUUCGUUGGUUCCAAAUGGCCACUGAUCAAAAACUUAAGCGAAACGAUCUUGGAUGAAAAUUUCAACUGUGCCAGCAUAUCCAAAAUAUCCAUUUGAGUCUAGAUAGACCUUUUCGUGUCCCAAUGCACCCAAGCUCAUUUCAACCUAUUAGUCGGAAAAUCAUAAAAUCGAAACUAUAUAUGUGGGCCCCACUUUUUGCCUAAGCGACCUUGUAUGGAAGUUUUGAUGAUUCCAAUGGAUUUGAAUUGUGGUUUACACUCAAAUUUCAUUAUUGGAUCAAAUAUUUUGGGUCCCGGAUGAGUUUCGAGGGUCAAAAAAUCUUUUUAACUUUGCUGUCAUAGGGUACCGCGUCUGUUCGCCGAAGGGGUCUAUAAAUAGGCCCAAGGUCGCGAUUUUGGGAAUUUUUCUGUCACAUUUGAGAACCUAAAACCCUAAAUGGGUAUGAUAACUUGAAAUUUCGUCUUGUGGGUGUCUAGGGAGCUUAGUAAACAUUUUUUAUCAUGAUUAUCAUCCGGAUUAAGGUAAGAUUUCAUAACUUUAUUGGUGAAUUUCCUUGUUCUUGACCCGAAACCCCAAUUUAGCUUAGGGCUUGAUUUAGCUCCUAAUUUCAUUUGUUUGCACCCAUCAAUUGAGGGUUAUGCUUCCUUGGUGAUAGAUGAGCAUUGGGUUGACCUCGGAAACGCGAUUUUCGUAUGUGGGACCCACUUAGGCUUUUUGGUGUCAUUUUUGGACCCGAAGCCCAAUAGUGCAAUAUGGGUAUCGUUAGACUCGUAUUGAUGAGUAGAUUAUAUUUUUGAUAGUGUGAUGGCAUUUUGGGGAUUGUGAAGUGAAGACGAGCAUGUGGUGCUUGAAGUGUGAUUUUGCGGUUUAGCCUUGACGUAGGCUUCUGUCUACUCUUCUUCAUGGAUGAUGUAUGAUAUAUAUUGCGUGUGAAUGUGAAUGUUAAAAUUGAUAUUGGAUAGAAUGACUUAGUAUUGAUUAUACAUAUAAGUAUGGGGAUUAGAUGGGAGAUUUGACCCGAAGGUUGAAUUACUUAAUACCCUUGUAGAAUCCUAUUGCCUUCUCCCUAGCUUGGGUAAAUUUGUAGCAUAGAUAUGAUAUAAUUUUAUGCUCGGAAUAUGGUUUUAGCAUUUGAAGCAUGAUUUGCAUAUUUAGCCUUAUUGGGCUAGUGUGAUAGUUUUGGAACCGUAAGUUUGGUGGAGUUGACUUGAGUACCCUUGUUUCUAGUCGAAGUUACUAUCUUAGGCGUUAAUAUGGCUUGCUUGACAUCUAGAGGAUGAACUAGAUACCUUAGCCUAGUUUGGAGCAUAGUCUGCCUAAUUAUGGAAAUUAUGAAUUAGAAGUGGGAUCAUCUGGCCCACUUAGGCCAAGAUUUGUGUUAGCCCUUGUGGGCUUAGUUGCGGAUAGUAGACCUAGUUGAGGGUAAUGAGCCUUAUUUAUGAGAAUUACUUGGUGAAUUGAUAAAUUGUGAUGAUUUUCGUCAGAUUAUGAUUAGUGGCCCAUAGAGAUGCAUUUUCCUCUUUAUUAUGAUAUUUGGCCCAUAGAGAUGCAUUUUACUCUUAAUUAUGAUAUUUUGCCCAUAGAGAUGCAUUUUCCUCUUUAUUAUGAUAUUUGGCCGAUAGAGAUGUAUUUUCCUCUUUAUUAUGAUAUUUUGCCCAUAGAGAUGCAUUUCCCUCUUUAUUAUGAUAUUUGGCCCAUAGGGAUGCAUUUUCCUCUUAAUUAUGAUAUUUUGCCCAUAGAGAUGCAUUUUCCUCUUUAUUAUGAUAUUUGGCUCAUAGAGAUGCAUUUUUCUUCGAAUUAUGAUAUUUGGCCUAUAGAGAUGCAUUUUUCUCUUAAUUAUGAUAUUUUGCCUAUAGAGAUGCAUUUUCCUCUUAGUCACGAUAUUUGGCCCAUAAAGAUGAUUUUCCUCUUAGUUAUGAUUAUUGAGCUUAUAGAGACGAUUUUCCUCUUGGUCAUGAUACAAAACCUAUAGAUAUGAGAUGGCUAAUAGAGGGGAUAUGGUUGUUGAUAUUAUACCUCCUAGAUGUGAGAUACCUCAUAUAUGUGAGAUGAUUAUAGAUAUGCUACGGUUUAUAAAAUGAUUAUUGAUAUGAGUUCCGGAUAUGUAUAUUGGCCUAAGGCCAUGAUUAUGAUGUGAUUAUUCCGGAUAAAUUAAUGGGCCAAGGGCCGUGUUAUGGUACUGAUUAAAUAUCUAAGAAGUGUUUAUCAUUGUGAAUGAUGUGAUUGCGAUUUAUGAAUAUGAAUAUGUAUAUGUUUGUAUACACAUCUCUCCGGUAUGGGAUGGAGGAAGAUGCGGUAUGAUGCUUAUUAUUUCAUUGAUUGAAUACUGGUGAUGGCAUGCAUAGGUUUGGUACGUUCAUGAUUAUUUACAUUAUAAAAUGAAGUGAUUAUAGCCGAAAUAUGAUCUUAUGGUUUUUCUUCUUGUUAGACGGUUAAGCUAUAUGGUAACUAGUUGUCUAUUAGCUAACUAUUGCGCUUGAUGGCUAGGAAGCUAAUGUAUUAGUUAAUGAAUCUUGCUUAGUUGGAACAUGGUAGCUAAUGAUGGUCAGUUAAUGAAUGAUGUCAUUUAAUAAAAGAUGGUUAGGCGACAAGUAGUAAUGUGUUGUCUAGUAAUGAUUAACAAAAAUAGGAUGAAUAGUUGAUAAUAAUGAAUGGUAGAUAAAUGAUGGUUUUGGUUUAAUGAUGAACCUAGACUAGAUGUUAGAUGUUGACUAUUAAAUGAAUAGUGGUUAGUUGUUACCCCACGAAUAAGGAUUAUGUGAAGGAUAAUGUUUAGGCUAAUAACUAGAGGUUAUGUGAUGACUAGCGAACUAGCGGUUUAAUAAUAAUAAGUGUUGGUUAGCUAAUAACGAUUAGUUGGGAUGUAUUGAUAAGUUAGACAUCUUUAUGGUUAUAAGCAUAUCGGCUCGCGUUUGUGCACCUAUUAUAUGCCUAUAUUUAUGUGUCGAGAGUUAUGAUGAUAUAUUGAUAUUCGGCAAGGCCGGAGGAUAUUAUGAUGAUAUUGAUACCUGGUUCGAGUCCGGAGGAUACUAUUUAGAUGAUAUUGAUACUCGGCAAGGCCGAAAGAUAUUAUGAUGAUAUUGAUAUCCAGUUCGAGUCCGGAAGAUACUAUUGAGAUGAUAUUGAUACCCACAAGGCCGGAGGAUAUUGUGAUAAUAUUGAUACCCGGUUCGAGUCCGGAGGAUACUAUUAAGAUGAUAUUGAUACCCGGUGAGGCCGGAGGUUGAUGACGAUGAUAAUGGUCCUGAUGAAGACAGUUAUGAUGUAUUGUGAUAUUGAUGGUAUAUUUUGCAUUCAUUACUGCAUGCGCAUCGCCUAUCACCAGUAUGCACCUAUGUCUAUCAGCCGGUAUGGGACGGUUGCAUAGAUGUGGGUGAAGAAUAUGUCUUGUGUUAUUGUUUGUUGAUUGAACCUUCCGAGUCUGGGGCGGUGGGGGUACGCAUAGGCUCGGCUAGGUAUUUGGUUAUUCGGAGUAGCCGGUUAUUUACGAUCUUAUUGAUAUUGUUAUUAUCAUGGUUAUGAUCAUUAUUAUGGCUAGCUUAAGACAGAUUGGUCAUGGAUCCGGUAUUGGGAUUGAGGUAUGUCUUCGACCUUUGCUAUCUUAUGAUUACAUUACUAUGCACGAUUAUUCUAUGUCUAGCCAUAUGAAUUAGAAAUCUUGAAUAUGUUGGUAUUGAAUACUGAUAGUAUUAUAAUGAGGUCUUAAAAUGAGAACAUGAUGAUGUAGGUUAUCAUGGUACUAUUGGAUAUCCCUUUCUUUGUUGUUCAUAUUGUAUAGUCGUUCCUUCGCCUUGUAUAUUACAAUAUAUCUUUAUUUUGCUCUUUAUCUGUAUAUUGACCUAGGAUAUACGAUAUAGCUUUGGCAUUUAUUAAAUGUAGCUGGAAUAAGAUAGUACUCCCUGAUACUUCCUUAGUCUUAUUAUGUUAGACUCUUGGACAUGAAUAGGAUAGUUGUCCCUUGUUAUUCUCAUUGACUUAUUACAUGAUUUAUGGACUCUUGGUUGUAGUUUCCAUUCUGUUUAUAUGUUGUAUAUAUCUACUUUAUCUUUGGAGCUCAGUUGGCAGUUGCCUACGGAGUACCAUUCGUUUGGUACUCAUACUACACCUCUGCAGCCUGUAGAUCAUAGUACGAGUUAUUGCUGUUGAUGUGUGCAUCGUGUGGAGUAGCCCUGAUUCGGAGACUUAGAGUGAGCUCCUGACGUUCGGAGUAUUACUUAUCUCUCUCCUAUGUAUUAGACUAGCCUCUAAGUUGUAUUCAGAGGUAAGUUAAAUCAGUGUAUUUCUUCUUGAUAUAUCACUUUUGUACUCUUAUUAUGUUUAGAAGCUCUUGUACUGAUACCACCAGGUUUCAGGAUUCACCUAUGUAUUGAUCUUUGUCUCAUAUAUUCCGCAUUCUUUUUCUUAUGUUAUUAAGUAGUCCGUUACUAGCUGUUCCGGACUACAGGUUGGCUUGUCUACUGGUGGGUUAUGGUAGGCGCCAUCAUGACAUGAAAAGUUGGGUUGUGACAAAUUGGUAUCAGAGACUAGGUUUCUUCGGUGUAUUAGUACAAGAGCUAAGUGUUUGUAGAGUCCUGCGGAUCGGUGCGGAGACGUUCGUAACCUAUCUUCGGGAGGCUACAGUGACAUUUUAGGAAAUUUACUUCAUGACUCCUUAUCGUGUGUCUCCAUUCCUAUGAACCUUGAACAUAUUCUUUGACUCUAUUCUAUUCCCGAAGGACUAUGCGAUAUUGUCGAUGGAUGCGGAUGAGAUUCCAACAUGCAUUUUCAGAAUUUUUGCGCAGUAUCAAACUAAUGAGUCAAAGAUGGAUAUUGAAGAUCUGCAGCGGUAGCUAAAAAGGAUUUGGGUUGAGUCCCUGUUAGACUUGCGGAGUGUGGUAUAGUUUUUCGGGCCAUGGUGACCAUUCUGGAUUAUGAGGGGUAGUAUUUCAAAGUAUUUUAGAUUCUUGGUUUGGUUGUGUUGUGAUGGGACACUGGUUCAGAAAAUGCCCUUGGUAUGCGAUAGGUGGUCAGAUAGAGUUAGCCUGUCUUCCUCGCUAGCCUAGAGUUCCUAAGACAGACUAUGAUUUUUGAAGUUUGGACAUGAAUUUACGGAUUUCUCCCGACGUUGGUUGGCCAUCCAUUUGAGCUCAGUUUGUGUCCUCGCCAUGUUGAUGCUCCAGGAAUUGCUAUGAGAAUAGGAUGAUCGACUACUAGUAUAGAGUGUCUUCGACAUGGGAGUUUCAGUUAUUCAGCUCAUUCCGAUCAGCCUCGUGAUGUUGUGGCAUCUUCAGUUAUAGAUGGUGCGUUUGACGACUCAGUUGAUGAUUCAGUCGGUCGGUCUGAGUUAAGCCCGUUCAGAUUUAUUUUUCUUAUGCCCAUCAGGCAUGUGAUUGCGGAUGUCGCCACGACUGGUGUGCUUUUAUUCUCGCCUUUUUCUCUUAUUAUGUGUAUUGGGAUUUUCAUACCCAUUGAUAAUUAUAUGCCUUGAUGAAUUUAUAUCGGUCAUUGUGUGCCUUAUUGUUGAAUUCAUAAUUAUAUUACUACUUCAUGGUUUAUUUCUUUUAGUAGUGGAUGGAGUAGAUCUAUAUUGAUGUUUCUUCCCUAUGGGUGUGCUUUGGGUUCGAGUCCUAUUUGUCUUGGCACAUUAGUCCUGUUGUGGCCCUUGAGUGGUACAUAAUAUUGAUGUUCAUUUUGGUACCACCUAUCGAGUAUAUUGAUUUUGAUAUUGUUGUUGCUAUUGCUACCAUUGCAUGAGGGUACUGAUAUUACUUGAUAUUAUCACUUGAUGUUGUUAUUUAUAAUUGAUUCUUGCUGGGUAGCUGUAUAGACUAGUGUUAUCUAGUUAGACUCUCAUUUUCUUGUGCUAUUAUUUGGUGGCUUGAGUAGAUAUAGCCCGAUUUGAUGAUUUCUUUCCCCUAGCAUGGCGAGGUUGAUUGUGUUCCCUCUUGGUUAGCUAUAUUAGAUUGAUUCGGGGAUGUAUUGUGAUAUCGAAAAGGCAAGUUAAUCACCUUAGAGUUGGAAAUGUAGUUGCAUUGCCUAUUAUUGAGUAUGAUAUCCUUAGACUUGCUUUCUGGGUUGCGAAGGUUUUCUCCUUGGCUAUUCUUUUAGAUAUAGCCGUUUAUGAGAUUGACCAGUUUGAGGUCCGCUAUUCAUUUAUGGCUAUUUCUUUAUCUGAUAGCGAUUUGAUGUUGAUGUUGAGAUGUCAUGGAUUCAUCUCAUAUGUAAGUUGGUUCGCUCUCUUGUGAUGGAUUGCCUUGUUGUUAGUGUGGAGAUUGGAUACUCUUUUGUCGUUGUGAUAUGGUUUUGUCUAGAGAAGAUGAAAGAUAGAGGCAGGUGGCCUUUCCUGUGAUCGCUUCUAAAGUUGGGAAAUUAGAAACUCUGUAGCUUGAGUUGUUGGUACUCUAGUGGUUGUUUCGACUUUGACCUUGACUUUGAGAUUGUUAUUUCUUCUUUGAUGAUGUGGUUCUUGGGUGGAUUCAGGAAAUUCCUAUUUCAGUAUUUGUUUGGCCUAGUAAGGCUUGGUGGACUAAUUCUCCUCGAUGAUAUGUGUUUAGGGCUAUUUCUUUGCCUAGAUGGGGUAUCGUAUUGGUUCAGUUUUGACUUGGCGCUUUGGAAUAACGAUUGGGAAGUAUGAUAAAUUUGUAUUAUUAGUGCCUACCCAUUCUUAGUUUUGUUUAGAUAUUUGAGACGUAGCGAUUCAGCCUUGGUAUUGAGAUUUCAGCUUGGUGUUGUUGAGCUUGCGUGGAGCUUCUAUUUUAGAGUUGUCUUCGUUCAGAUUUCAUUUAUAGGCUGGUUGAGCCUACUCUAUGUUUUCUAUUCGGUUUUCUUGACAUCGGUUGGAUUAUAGUUGAUAAGUGUUCAGAUGAUAGCUCAUGGGCCCCAUAUUGGUUAUAUCAGUUUUGACCUCUAGAUUCAAUUUUCUUUAGGAAUUUUGGAUGCUUUACUCAAUGAGAGUAAUAUACUUGAGUUGGUAUCAAUGUGUUGUGGUUCAGAUUUGCGUGCGUCAGUCUUUUCAGUUCAGUUGGAGGCCAUUUAGCGGUUGAAGUUGAGGUUUGGUUGUUUGGGAAGUAAAGUGAGGGUGCAGGUUGAAAAAGGGAUACCUGUGGUGAAAUCUCUUGGAAGUGUUCUCUCCUCGUGGAGGUUACCUGGGAAGUCAUUCUUGGAGCAUGUGGGCCCAGUACCUCAUCACUUCGAGCCUUUGAGAUUCUUUCUAUUCGUUGACUUUCGAGGACGAAAGUCCUUUUAGUAGUGGAUAUUGUAAUGACCCUUCAGGUCAUUUUUCAUAUUUAUGCUUAUCUUCACCGUUUGAGCGUCUCCAUAGCUGUCCCAAGUCAUUUAUGACUUGCUGGGACUGAGGGUUCGGUUACCGGGCAAUUCGUUUGGUUUUUAGAGUCAACUCCCUGUAGAGAAGUCUUCGUUGGUUCCAAAUGGCCACCGAUCAAAAACUUCAGCGAAAUGAUCUCGGAUGAAAAUUUCAACUGCGCCAGCAUAUCCGAAUAUCCAUUUUAGUCUAGGUAGACUUUUGGUUCGGGUCCCAAUGCACCCGAGCUCAUUUCGACCUAUUAGUUGGAAAGUCAUAAAAUUGAAACUAUUUAUGUGGACCCCACUUUUUUCCUAAAUGACCUUGUAUGGAAGUUUUGAUGAUUCCAAUGGAUUUGAAUUGUGGUUUACACUCAAAUUUCACUAUUGGAUCAUAUAUUUUGAGUCCCGGAUGAGUUCCGAGGGUCAAAAAUUUUUUUUUGACUUUGCUGUCGUAGGGUACCGCAUCUUUCGCCGAAGGGGUCUAUAAAUAGACCCAAGGUCGCGAUUUUGGGGAUUUUUCUGUCACAUUUGAGAACCUAAAACCCUAAAUGGGCAUGAUAACUUGAAAUUUAGUCUUGUGGGUGUCUAGGGAGCUUGGUAAACAUCUUUUAUUAUGAUUAUCAUCCGGAUUAAGGUAAGAUUUCAUUACUUUAUUGGUGCAUUUCAUUAUUCUUGACCCAAAACCCCAAUUUAGCUUAGGGCUCGAUUUAGCCCCAAAUUUCAUUUGUUUGCACCCAUCAAUUGAGGGUUAUGCUUCCUUGGUGAUAGAUGAGCAUUGGGUUGACCUCGGAAACACGAUUUUCGUAUGUGGGACCCACUUGGGCUUUUUGGUGUCAUUUUUGAACACGAAGCACAAUAGUGCAAUAUGGGUAUCGUUCUUCUCGUAUUGAUGAGUAAAUUAUAUUUUUGAUAGUGUGAUGACAUUUUGGGGAUUGUGAAGUGAAGACGAGCAUGUGGUGCUUGAAGUGUGAUUUUGCAGUUUAGCCUUGAAGUAGGCUUCUGUCUACUCUUCUUCAUGGAUGAUGUAUGAUAUAUAUUGCGUGUGAAUGUGAAUGUUAAGAUUGAUAUUGGAUAGAAUGACUUAGUAUUGAUUAUACAUAUAAGUAUGGGGAUUAGAUGGGGGUUUUGACCCGUAGGUUGAAUUACUUAAUACCCUUGUAGAAUCCUAUUGCCUUCUCCCUAGCUUGGAUAAAUUUGUAGCAUGGAUAUGAUAUAAUGUUAUGCUCGAAAUAUGGUUUUAACAUUUGAAGCAUGAUUUGUAUAUUUAGCCUUAUUGGGCUAGUGUGAUAGUUUUGGAACCUUAAGUUUGGUAGAGUUGACUUGAGUACCCUUGUUUCUAGUCGAAGUUACUAUCUUAGGCGUUAAUAUGGCUUUUUUGUUAACAUUUGAAGCAUGAUUUGUAUAUUUAGCCUUAUUGGGCUAGUGUGAUAGUUUUGGAACCUUAAGUUUGGUAGAGUUGACUUGAGUACCCUUGUUUCUAGUCGAAGUUACUAUCUUAGGCGUUAAUAUGGCUUGCUUGACAUCUAGAGGAUGAACUAGAUACCUUAGCCUAGUUUGGAGCAUAAUAUGCCUAAUUAUGAAAAUUAUGGAUUAGAAGUGGGAUCAUCUGGCCCACUUAGGCCAAGAUUUGUGUUAGCCCUUGUGGGCUUAGUUGCGGAUAGUAGUAAUGAACCUUAUUUAUGAGAAUUACUUGGUGAAUUGAUAAAUUGUGAUGAUUUUCGUCGAAUUAUGAUUAGUGGCCCAUAGAGAUGCAUUUUUCUCUUUAUUAUGAUAUUUGGCCCAUAGAGAUGCAUUUUACUCUUAAUUAUGAUAUUUUUCCCAUAGAGAUGCAUUUUCCUCUUUAUUAUGAUAUUUGGCCAAUAGGGAUGCAUUUUCCUCUUUAUUAUGAUAUUUUGCGCAUAGAGAUGCAUUUUCCUCUUUAUUAUGAUAUUUGGCCUAUAGGGAUGCAUUUUCCUCUUAAUUGUGAUAUUUUGCCCAUAGAGAUGCAUUUUCCUCUUAAUUAUGAUAUUUUACCCAUAGAGAUGCAUUUUCCUCUUUAUUAUGAUUAGUGGCCCAUAAAGAUGCAUUUUCCUCUUUAUUAUGAUAUUUAGUCCAUAGAGAUGCAUUUUCUUCGUAAUUAUGAUAUUUUGUCCGUAGAGAUGCAUUUUCCUCUUUAUUACGAUAUUUGGCCCAUAGAGAUGAUUUUCCUCUUAGUUAUGAUUAUUGAGCUUAUAGAGACGAUUUUUCUCUUGGUCAUGAUGCAAAACCUAUAGAUAUGAGAUGUCUAAUAGAGGCGAUAUGCUUGUUGAUAUUAUGCCUCCUAGAUGUGAGAUGCCUCCUAUAUGUGAGAUGAUUAUAGAUAUGCUACGGUUUAUAAAUAUGAUUAUUGAUAUAAGUCCCGGAUAUGUAUAUGGGCCUAAGGCCAUGAUUAUGAUGUUGUGAUUAUUCUGGAUAAAUUAAUGGGCUAAGGGCCGUGUUAUGGUACUGAUUAAAUAUCUAAGAAGUGUUUAUCAUUGUGAAUGAUGUGAUUGUAAUUUAUGAAUAUGAAUAUGUAUAUGUUUGUAUACACAUCUCUUUGGUAUGGGAUUGUGGAAGAUGCGGUAUGGUGCUUAUUAUUCCAUUGAUUGAAUACUGGUGAUGGCAUGCAUAGAUUUGGUACUUUAUGAUUAUUUACCAUUAUAAAUGAUGUGAUUAUAGCUGAAAUAUGAUCUUAUGUUUUUUCUUCUUGUUAGACGGUUAAGCUAUGUGGUAACUAGUUGUCUAUUAGCUAACUAUUNNNNNNNNNNNNNNNNNNNNNNNNNNNNNNNNNNNNNNNNNNNNNNNNNNNNNNNNNNNAGUUAAUGAAUGAUGUCAUUUAAUAAAAGAUGGUUAGGCGACGAGUAGUAAUGUGUUGUCUAGUAAUGAUUAACAAAAAUAGGAUGAAUAGUUGAUAAUAAUGAAUGGUAGAUAAAUGACGGUUUUGGUCUAAUAAUGAACCUAGACUAGAUGUUAGAUGUUGACUAUUAAAUGAAUAGUGGUUAGUUGUUAUCCCGUGAAUAAGGAGAAGGAUAAUGUUUAGGCUAAUAACUAGAGGUUAUGUGAUAACUAGCGAACUAGCGGUUUAAUAAUAAUAAGUGUUGGUUAGCUAAUAAUGAUUAGUUGGGAUGUAUUGAUAAGUUAGACAUCUUUACGGUUAUGAGUAUAUCGGCUUGCGUCUGUGCACCUAUUAUAUGCCUAUAUUUAUGUGUCGAGAGUUAUGAUGAUACAUUGAUAUCCGACAAGGUCGGAGGAUAUUAUGAUGAUAUUGAUACCCGGUUCGAGUCCGGGGGAUACUAUUGAGAUGAUAUUGAUAACCGGCAAGGCCGAAAAAUAUUAUGAUGUUAUUGAUACCCGGUUCGAGUUCGGAGGAUAAUAUUGAGAUGAUAUUGAUACUCGGCAAGGCCGGAGGAUAGUAUGAUGAUAUUGAUAUCCGGUUUGAAUCCAGAGGAUACUAUUGAGAUGAUAUUGAUACCCGGCAAGGCCGGAGGAUAUUGUGAUAAUAUUGAUACCCGGUUCAAGUCCGGAGGAUACUAUUGAGAUGAUAUUGAUACCCGGUGAGACCGAAGGUUGAUGACGAUGAUGAUGGUCCUGAUGAAGACAGGUAUGAUUCAUUGUUAUAUUGAUGGUAUAUUUUGCAUUCAUUCCUGCAUGUGCAUCGCCUAUCACCAGUAUGAAUCUAUGUCUAUCAGCCGGUAUGGGACGGUUGCAUAGAUAUGGGUGAAGAAUAUGUCUUGUGUUGUUGUUUGUUGAUUGAACCUUCCGAGUCUGGGGCGGUGGAGUACGCAUAGGCUCGGCUAGGUAUUUGGUUGUUCGGAGUAGCCGAUUAUUUACGAUGUUAUUAAUAUUGUUAUUAUCAUGGUUAUGAUCAUUAUUAUGGCUAGCUUAUGACAGAUUGGUCAUGGAUCCGGUAUUGGGAUUGAGGUAUGUCUUCGACCUUUGCUAUCUUAUGAUUACAUUACUAUGCACGAUUAUUCUAUGUCNNNNNNNNNNNNNNNNNNNNNNNNNNNNNNNNNNNNNNNNNNNNNNNNNNNNNNNNNNNNNNNNNNNNNNNNNNNNNNNNNNNNNNNNNNNNNNNNNNNNNNNNNNNNNNNNNNNNNNNNNNNNNNNNNNNNNNNNNNNNNNNNNNNNNNNNNNNNNNNNNNNNNNNNNNNNNNNNNNNNNNNNNNNNAUAUAUAUAUAUAGCUUUAUGAAGUCAUGAUACUAUCGGAUAUCCCUUUCUUCGUUGUUCAUAUUGUAUAGUUGUUUCUUCGCCUUGUAUAUUACUAUAUAUCUUUAUUUUGGUCUUUAUCUGUAUAUUGACCUGGGAUAUACGGUAUAGCUUUGGCAUAUAUUGAAUGUAGCUGGAAUAAGAUAGUACACCUUGAUAUUUCCUUAGUCUUAUUAUGUUAGAUUCUUGGACAUGAAUAGGAUAGUUGUCCCUUGUUAUUUUCAUUGACUUAUUACAUGAUUUAUGGACUCUUGGUUGUAGUUUUCAUUCUGUUUAUAUGUUGUAUAUAUCUACUUUAUUUUUGGAGCUCAGUUGGCAGUUGCCUACUGAGUACCAUUCGUUUGGUACUCAUACUACACCUCUGCAGCCUGCAGAUUAUAGUACGAGUUAUCGCUGUUGAUGUGUGCAUCGUGUGGAGUAGCCCUGAUUCGGAAACUUAGAAUGAGCUCCUGACGUUCGGAAUAUUACUUAUCUCUCUCCUAUGUAUUAGACUAGCCUUUAAGUUGAUCAGUGUGUUUCUCCUUGAUAUAUCACUUUUGUACUCUUAUUAUGUUUAGAAGCUCUUUGCCUGAUACCAUCAGGUUUCGGGAUUCACCUAUGUAUUGAUCUUUUUCUCAUAUAUUCCGCAUUCUUUUUUUUAUGUUAUUUAGUAGUCUGUUACUAGCCGUUCCGGACUACAGGUUGGUUUGCCUACUGGUGGGUUAUGAUAGGCGCCAUCAUGACCUGAAAAGUUGGGUUGUGACAAUAGGAUUCAAGAAGAACAACAUAGCAUAGGAAAUGAUGAUCUUGUGGUGCGGAUCCACAAAUUUUACAACUGUGAGUUUUACAUGCACUCAUUAAAUUUUCUUUCAUGCAAAGAUCAAUAGAUACCGUACUGCAGUAACUCUUUUGUUCUAUUUGUGUUGCAGCUGAACCUUAAGGCCAGCGUUCGUUUGAUAUUUGGCCGGCCCCCUCGAUAAGCAAAGAGGCUAAUGCAGAGGUUUUAACUUGUUAAACUUCUAGUUCUUUUGUGAAUGCUGACAUUGAGAGUUAUAUAGGUUGCAUUGAUGAUACGAAAGCUUUUUUUGCCAGGAAAGUUUAGCUUUCCCCAGGAAUAGUUCAUCAACUUGGCUAGCAAUUCAGCAAAGGCUAGCAACAGUCGACAAAUUAUCCAGAUGGGGAGCUCCGAUAGCCAAAGACUGUACUUUGUGACACUGGAUUGGAGGAAUCAUUUGCUCACCUCUUCUUUGAUUGCAUAUGCCUUAGCUCAAUCUGGAAGGUUUUAUUGAAGUGGUUAGGUGUUACACGACAUUCCACAUGCUGGGAAACUGAAAUUACAUGGUUGACACAAAGAGCGAAGACUAUAAGACCAAAAGCUGAGAUUCUGAGGUUCCUAAUUCAACGCAACAGUGUACCAUGUCUGGUUGGAAGAAAUACCAGAAGACUCCAAGAAGUUCAGUGAGUGUGUUCAUACAGAUUGAAGGAGCUAGUAGUUCAGCUAGCUAUCAAAGGGAUUCAGCUAGCUAAAUGGAAGCAAUUGCUAGCGGCAUUGAAUAGAUAUCCAGUCUGAGAAAUAGGUUUUCCUGAUGUUGUUUUUUUCUUUUUUUUUUUCCUAGACUAGGAGUGCUUCUAAAAUUUGUGAGGUCUGGUUCCUGGCAUACAUAUGGACUAGGAGUUAUAAAUAGACUAACUUUGUUGAAUACAACUUUCCCUGUUCUUACAAAUAGAAUAAAUCUGUGUUAUUUGUAUGAUUGGUGCUCUGACUGAAAUUAGCUCAGAUUUCUUCAGUGGGAGUGAGCACUUUAUCAAGAGAUGGCUAAUGCUGUUGUCGCAUUUCUGUUGUUAAAUUUGAAACAGCUACUCCUUUAUCAUGUGGAUUUGUUUUCAGGAGUAAAGGAUCAAGCUGAGUCUCUUCAUAGAGAGCUUGGUUUGAUGAAAGCUUUCCUAAGGACUCUCAGGAGAAGUGCAGUGAGUUGCCAAAUUGCGUCAGCUUUUGAAGUUGCUGGCAAGACAGUUAGUGGGCCUACUCAUACUGAUUUUUGAAGUUGACUAGGUCGUUUGGUUCAUUUUCUGCGUCAACACGUUAUCAUUAUUCACAGCUCUUUCUUUUAUAAUUUUCAUGCAUCAUGUUUGCCGCAGAAAAUUAUAUAAGCAAAGAGAAAUUCUCCUAAAGCUUAAUGUCAUCAGUAAAAACUUAUCGCAAAUUAACUAGUUUUAUUAACUUAUAUAAAACAGUUCUAUGGCCUGUGUUUCAUCAUGCAGAUUGUGCUAUCCUAAUGUAGAAAUUUAAAUUAUGCUUUAACGUUUACUUUUGCUAGGCUACCCAAGUUAUUUUGUAGGAAUAGGAAAGUAUUGAAAACCUUUUAUCCUCUUACAGGGCGUGACCCCCCCUCAAAUUCCUCCCACCCUGUAGAAUUACCCAAAAACAAGAUAAAAUAGACUGAAAUUAACUAAAACUAUUUCUUUUUCCCAGAGAUAACAGAAGGUUUCUGAUAAUUUCACCUGAUAAAUUUUUAACCAGGCUAAGGUUGGAAUUACUAUGAUGAAAUUCUGGAUUAGAUGAUUAGUAACAGUUAGUGUUAACCAGUGUUUCUAAAAUUGCAAAGUGCAAAGAAGCGACUAGAUCCACGGUGCUUGAUGCAAAAAGUGACAAGUGAAGCGCAUUACCUGUUGGAAAAAGUAUCAUACUCAUACAGAUACAAAUUAAUUUAUCAAAUUCCAAUAAAUAACUAAUUUCAAUUCUUGAUCUGUCUUAAAUUGCAUGCGAACAUUGUAUUUAAGUUUGUGAUAGGAUAGCUUUUCCUUUUUAUCAUAUUUGCAUGCAAUUUUGCCUUGACGUAUCCUUUGAUAUGGUGCACAUGGAUGAAGCAGGAUAGGCAGUGGCAGAGAAUGGAUUUUCACAAGGGGGUUCAUCAUCUGCUUUAUAUGCAUAAAAAAGAUUUUAACCUUGUAUAUACAGUACAAUUAUAUAUGCAAUGCAAUUUUCCGUGACAGUGGGUUCAGAUGAAUCCCUUCCACCCCUCUAGCUCCGCCUUAGGAUCGGGCUGAACAUCCUCUCAAACUUGCUACUCACUGCUCUUUUCCUAGUUGUAUGUACUUUGUUUUCUUACUGUUUCCAUAUUUUUGAUGAUGCCAUCAAUAUUCACAACAAGGUACAAAACAAAAAAAAUAUAGAGGGAAAAAAAAGUUAAACAACGUCAAUAAAUUUCUAGGGAGACUAUUGAUGGACCUAAGUUGGGGAUCUAUCAUAAACAACCUCUCUACUUCAUCUGAGUUAGUGUUAUGGUCUGGGUAUACUCUACCCUCCCCAAAUCCCAUCUUGUGGGAAUACACUUGGUAUUUUGUUGUACUGUUGAUGGACCUCUUUUACUAUGUAUGUACAAGUUGAAGAUCAUGUUCUUUCCUAAAUUUUGAAUCAAAGGUUUAAUUGUUCUUAUUCCUAAACUCUUGUGCAGUAGACAUUCCUCCUUCCCUCUUAUUUAGCGUGUGUGUAGAAAUCACUGCAUAAUUACUAGACUAAACAUCCUUGUAAUUACAUACUCCCUCCUGUUGAUUGUCUGGUUUUGACUUGGCAAGGAGUUUAAGAAGGUAAAGAAGACUUUAAAAUCUUGUGGUCUUAAACUAAAAAUAGGUAAAAAUGUAUCAAAAUAUCCUUUAAUCUUAUGGUCUCACACAUGCCAUGUAGAAAGCUGGAAUUAAAGAGUUGCCAAAAAAUGAAAGAGACAUUCUUUUUGAAACGGACUAAAAAGGAAAGUAACAAAAACAAAUUGAAAUGGUGGGAGUAGUUUAGUAGUUAUAGAGAUAUAUUUGUUUGUCAUAAUAUAAUUACAGUGUAACUUUUAGCAUCACGUAGUUAAAAAAGAAAUUAUAAAAAAUAAAGUAAACCUUUUUUCAGAUGAAUAAGUAUAUUCUUUUUGGAGAAAAGAAAGCGAAAGCAAAAGCAAAAGAACAAGAAAAGAUAGAAAGGCAUGUAUAGUGUUGCUCAAGUCAAAAGAUGAGGAAUUUUAUAUUGUGUGGCCUGCUUAAAAUUGACAAGUUGAAAGUGACAGAACAAUUAUUGAUCAUUUCUUUUAUCAUUUCCCUUCAUCUUCUUCCCACUUCUCUUACUGCUGGUUCUUCACAACAUUAUUUUUGCUCUGCUAACACUUCUACAAAUUCCUAGUAAUUUUUUAUUCCACUUCAUUACAGCUUCCACUUGGUGUUUCAUUAGUGGUCUUCUUCAGCUCAGUGGCUGGUAUGUUUAUAUUUGCAACUCUGAAUAUAUAUAUUUAUAUGUUAUUUUCUUUGUCUAUCAGAAACAAUUUCUCUCUCCCACAAAGGUAGGCCCACCCUCCCAAGACCCCCACAUGUGGGACUGUACUAGGUAUGUUGUUGAUUGUUGUUUUCUCUGUUGCUAUUUCCGAAGUGUUUGGAUAUUUUUUGACUCAUAUAAUAUUGGUUGCUUGCUGUUUUGGUUUUUUUCUCCGGAGAAAGCCUCUCUACCUCCACGAGGUAGAGGUGGAGGUAGAGAUAAGGUCUGUGUACACUCUACCUCGCCAGAUCUUACUUAUGGGAUUUUACUCAGUACGUUAUUUCUGUUUUGGGUUUUAAAAAAGUAUGGUCAUCCUUUGGAAUAUAAAAUCUCAUAAUCAUGUGAGCUUUUGGAUGAAGCUUUUGCGUUCUGCUUAAGAAAUGUUUUGAAGCAAUCAUAUAUAUGUAUUUGGAUUUGGUUUUGGUUUGAAUUUGGAGAGCUGAUUGAUCUGUGAAAAAGUUUUGGAAACAAUUUCAGAGAACAUUUGCUUUAGGUACUUUUUACUUUGGUAUCUUUCCCACUCGUGGGAUUAUACUGGCUAUGUUGUUGUUCUUGCUCUAGGUAUUUUAGGUAUUUUUUCAAACACCCGAGUUCAUUUUGUUAUUUAUUUUCAGAAAAGCAUUUUUGAUUUAAUUUCCUACAAUCGAAUCUAUUUCUUUAUCUAACACCGUUUAUUUUUGUUUUGAAAUGUAUCUCUUUUUCUUCCCCAUAUUUUUCUAAUCAAAGGGGCUGGUGCUACUAAUAAAUGAAAAACAAAUAUAUAACAUGUGGGACUGUACUAGGUAUGUUGUUGAUUGUUGUUUUCUCUGUUGCUAUUUCCGAAGUGUUUGGAUAUUUUUUGACUCAUAUAAUAUUGGUUGCUUGCUGUUUUGGUUUUUUUCUCCGGAGAAAGCCUCUCUACCUCCACGAGGUAGAGGUGGAGGUAGAGAUAAGGUCUGUGUACACUCUACCUCGCCAGAUCUUACUUAUGGGAUUUUACUCAGUACGUUAUUUCUGUUUUGGGUUUUAAAAAAGUAUGGUCAUCCUUUGGAAUAUAAAAUCUCAUAAUCAUGUGAGCUUUUGGAUGAAGCUUUUGCGUUCUGCUUAAGAAAUGUUUUGAAGCAAUCAUAUAUAUGUAUUUGGAUUUGGUUUUGGUUUGAAUUUGGAGAGCUGAUUGAUCUGUGAAAAAGUUUUGGAAACAAUUUCAGAGAACAUUUGCUUUAGGUACUUUUUACUUUGGUAUCUUUCCCACUCGUGGGAUUAUACUGGCUAUGUUGUUGUUCUUGCUCUAGGUAUUUUAGGUAUUUUUUCAAACACCCGAGUUCAUUUUGUUAUUUAUUUUCAGAAAAGCAUUUUUGAUUUAAUUUCCUACAAUCGAAUCUAUUUCUUUAUCUAACACCGUUUAUUUUUGUUUUGAAAUGUAUCUCUUUUUCUUCCCCAUAUUUUUCUAAUCAAAGGGGCUGGUGCUACUAAUAAAUGAAAAACAAAUAUAUAGUCACAAAGAGAAGAUACCUGUAGAACGUGGGCAGCAUCAAGUGUGGUAAGAUGACGGAUAUCUUUCUACCCUUAACAAAAGGUCUCAAAUUCGAAGAGGUUUCAGGUUCUAGUCUUGAUAAUGGAUAAACUCCUGGUAUAGGGCUUUCGCCUUUAGUGUCACUACACGUCCAAAGACGGAUCCAGGAUUUUGAACAUAAAUUUGAGUUAGUUAAACCAGUGAGUUUCAGAUACCCAGUCAAACGCGUCAAAAAAUUCAAGGUUAAGCAUAGCUUUAGAAGUUAGUAACAAAUGGCUCUAAUUUACCUUUUCUUUUUUUUUUUUUUAAAUAAAAAUAAAAAACUCUUUUGUCUUUAUUCAUUCCUUUUUUUUUAAAAAAAAGAAAAAGUUCUGUAUUGUUUCUUUUGCUUUUAGUUGCGUCAAUUUCGCAGAGUUGGACUGUGGACUUGCCCCCCUGUGUGUAAUUGUAUCAGUGCAAAUAUUUAGCUCUUGGCAUCAUAAAUAUACUGACGUUACGCAAGUUAAUAUCCAAUUUCUUUCUUCCUUUUUCCUUCGGUUUUCUCUAACAAAAUCAGUUUAAAUGGAACAUUUGCAGGGUCAAUUUAAGCACAACUUAGAAUAAUCUCAUACAAACUAAAAAAUCAAUCUGCGGGAGGGAAGAAGAGGAAAUGGCUCAUGCUGCUGUCGUAUCUCUUCAACAAAAACUGCAGGAAAUGCUGGAAGGUGACAAUUCUUGUUACCGUGAAAUACGUCAAGCAGUCAGUUCCUGGCAUGCUUUUUUGGAGGACUCUUUGUCGGUUACAAGUGCUCCCGAAGCAGUGGAUUAUUUGGAAAAGCGGCUUAAAUAUUUGGCAACUCAACUUCUAGAUAGUAUCAACUUAUAUGAAUUGAAAAGGAGAUCAGGUUGCUAUCCUCAAAGUUGGAAAGUGUUCCAGAGAGAAUUCAUGACAGCAGGUUCCGAUAGCAUAAAGGAAUAUUUGAAGAAGGUUAUGAAUGCUCGGAAUGAUAUUGAUGCUCUGCCAAUAUCGGAUACUGUGGAGAGUAAUUCAGAAUACAGUCCCAGUCUCCAAGCUACUGUGCUAGAACUUGAUGAUGACUUAAUGACCAUUAAAUCUCGACUUAUAGGACCUCCUUCAAAGCUAGAUGUCAUCUCAAUUGUUGGCAUGGGAGGAAUUGGCAAAACGACUCUUGCUAGACAAGUUUAUGAUGAUAUUUACAUGGAGCAUCACUUCUACAUUCGCGCUUGGAUUACCGUAUCUCAAAUGCAUCAACAUAGAGAAAUGUUGUUGGGCAUUUUGCGGUGUUUUUCACUUGUCAAUGACAACACCUAUCUAAAGAGUACUGAGCAAUUAGCCGAGCAAGUUUAUAGAAGUUUGAAGGGAAGGAGAUAUCUCAUUGCAAUGGAUGAUGUGUGGGACACCAGUGCAUGGGAUGUUGUGAAAAGAUCUUUUCCAGAUGAUAAAAAUGGAAGCCGUGUCAUACUUACUAGUCGGCUAGCAAAUGUGGGUAUCUAUGCUAGCUCAGGCAGCCCUCAUUAUAUGCAGUGCUUAAGUGUGGAAGAGAGCUUGAAGUUGUUCAACUUAAAGGCAUUUGGAAGGGAGACUUGCCCCCUUGAGCUGGAGAAAGCUACAAAGCAAAUAGUCGAGAAAUGUCAAGGACUACCACUAGCAAUCGUUGUGGUGGCUGGAUUUUGUUCCAAGAUAAGCAAGACAGAAAACUGUUGGGAAGAUGUAGCACAUAAAAUUGGUAUGGUUGUGAGUAGGGGCACAGAAGAAUGCCUGGACUUACUCACCUUGAGUUAUAACCAUUUGCCACAUCACCUGAAGCCAUGCUUCCUGUAUAUGGGAGCUUUUCCAAAAGACUUUGAGAUUAGUGUUUCAAGACUAAUCAAGCUAUGGAUUGCUGCGGAAUAUGUAAGAUGCAAACCUAAAAAGGACUUCGAAGAAGUUGCUGACGGAUACCUAAGAGAUCUUAUAGAUAGAAGUCUAAUUAUGGUUAAGAGAAGGACCUCAAGUGGCAAGGUCAAAACAUGCGAAGUUCAUGAUCUACUGCAUGAUUUAAUCCUAAGAGUAGCAUGGAAAGAGAGAUCGAUCUACUUUGCUAAAUCUAAUGUGAUUGUUUAUCAACCAGUGGCAUCUUUUGAACAUCGCAUCAUUUUCUAUUUUCCCAAUGUUUGUGAUAAAUCUUCACUUCCUCGUGCAAGUUCCUAUCUUUGUUUUGGAAGAGAUGGAACUCCUGGAUCCUGUUCUCAGGUUGAUUCGUUUCUCACCUUUACCAACUUCACAUGUUUAACAGUAUUGGAUAUGUGUUUUCAGCCAUUUGACCAUCUACCGUCAGAAAUAUGGGAAUUAUCUCAACUGAGGUAUCUUGCCCUCGCCAGUUUUAGUGUUCUCCCAUCAUCAGUUCGCAAUCUUAGGUGUCUUCGGACACUAAUUCGUUACAGUCACCAGGCUAGUAUUUGUUUGCCGGCAGAGAUAUGGGUGAUUAAACAAUUAAGGCAUCUCUAUUUCAGGAAAUGCUUCUACUUUCCUAAUGUUCAACCUGAACAAGAAAAUUAUCUGCUCAAGUUAAGUCGCUCUAAUCUUGCAGAGCGUAGUUUCUCUAGUGUUGCAUUAACCAAUCUGCAAACCCUUUCUUACAUUACCUUUGGUAGUAUUACAAGGCGCGUCUUUGAAGGCAUGCCCAACCUGAAGAAGUUAGGAAUUCGUGAAAGUGAAGAAGAAUGCCUGACUGCUGAACAAAUGUCUGGAAAACUCAAGAAACUGGUUCUGUUGGAACACCUUGAAACAUUCAAGGGUUUCUUUAUCAAACCAUGGAUACUUAAACAAUGUGAUGUUUUCCCACCAACCCUCAAGAAAUUGACGUUGCGGGGGUGCCAACUACCAUGGGACCAAAUGACGAUACUGUGCAAGUUACCCAAACUCGAGGUGCUCAAGCUCAAGGAUUAUGCUUUCCAAGGAUCAGAAUGGGAGCCAACUGACGAACGCUUUCAGCAGCUAAAAUUCCUACUGUUGGAUGGGACUGAUCUUAUCCACUGGAAAGCCAGUUCUAUUCAGUUCCCUAAGCUUGAGAGUCUUGUUCUGAAGAAUUGUUAUUGCCUGUAUGAGAUUCCUGAUGAAGUAGCGGAAAUACCUACCUUGCAGUUCAUUGAAUUGUAUCACUGUAGCUCUUCUGCUGAUGACUCCGCAAAUAGGAUUCAAGAAGAACAACAUAGCAUAGGAAAUGAC
rnacentral:lncRNA from 1 species